GGGGAUUAGCUCAGCUGGGAGAGCACCUGCUUUGCAAGCAGGGGGUCGUCGGUUCGA
rnacentral:tRNA from 1 species